CGCGUAGGUGGUUAAUUAAGUCAGAUGUGAAAGCCCAGGGCUCAACCUUGGAACUGCAUUUGAAACUGGUUGACUAGAGUUUUGUAGAGGGUGGUAGAAUUUCAGGUGUAGCGGUGAAAUGCGUAGAGAUCUGAAGGAAUACCAGUGGCGAAGGCGGCCACCUGGACAAAGACUGACACUGAGGCGCGAAGGCGUGGGGAGCAAACAGGAUUAGAUACCCUGGUAGUCC
rnacentral:rRNA from 1 species